UACGGAGGGAGCUAGCGUUGUUCGGAAUUACUGGGCGUAAAGGGCUCGUAGGCGGCCAACUAAGUCGGAUGUGAAAUCCCCAGGCUCAACUUGGGAACUGCAUCCGAUACUGGAUGGCUUGAAUUCGGGAGAGGGAUGCAGAAUUCCAGGUGUAGCGGUGAAAUGCGUAGAUAUCGAGAGGAACACCUGCGGCGAAGGCGGGUUGCUGGGCUGAUACUGACGCUGAGGCGCGAAAGCCAGGGGAGCGAACGGG
rnacentral:rRNA from 1 species